GCGACGCUCCUUUCUUCAAAUGCAGCUCACAUUUAACAGCGAUCGAAUGGUCGGUGCAGGUGAAGGUCACAACGAGCAUGUUGUCACUUCCGGGACACCGAUUCACGUCGGAAGGCUGCGGAAGCGCGGAAUCGACAUGUAAUGCAUUUCUGGCGCCUUUCUUUGCAAACGACUUGACUUCAUAUCCGGAAGCAGCCGUGUCUGUAGCGCAAUGGUACUCUUCCGGAAGAAUCGUCAGCAGGUUUACCUCUUCGUACGUCUCUUGGUCAAUGUCAGUGACGAUGAGGACCGAGUUUUUCCGGUCAACUAGGGCCGCCCGACCGUCGGAUAGAAAUAUGCCAGCGACAAUCAGCCGGCUGCGUUCAGGUUGGGCAAGAUAGUACAGGGAUUGUAAAAGUUCUAGGAAAAAAAAGAGAAGAAUAUUCAUGACAUUAUUGUUACACAGGGAAAGUCAAAUGAUUGAAGAUGAUAGUAUUAUUGAAUUGGUUGAGCAUGCAAGUUAUCAACUCAUUGAUCUAAUCAAGGCAAAAAAUUUAAAUAUUAAACAACAACAACCACAAAUAACGUUAUGCUGACCUAUUUUAUUUGCUAAGCACAGCGUUUGAUAAAGGAUGGCGAUCUCAAACGUA